UACAGAGGUGGCAAGCGUUGUUCGGAAUCACUGGGCGUAAAGGGCGCGUAGGCGGUUCGUUAAGUCCUGUGUGAAAUCCCCCGGCUCAACUGGGGAACUGCACAGGAAACUAGCGGGCUUGAGUUCGGGAGAGGGAAGCGGAAUUCCGGGUGUAGCGGUGAAAUGCGUAGAUAUCCGGAGGAACACCGGUGGCGAAGGCGGCUUCCUGGACCGACACUGACGCUGAGGCGCGAAAGCUAGGGGAGCAAACGGG
rnacentral:rRNA from 1 species